GUGUCGUUUUUUACAUUUUUCAAAAAAUGGAAAUGAAAAUGAGGAGGGCAGGAGGAAGAAAAUUGAAGAAUUACAGUAACUGCACCAUAGUGUUAGAACAAAAGAAAAGAGGAAGUUGAGAACUGCAGGGGUAAGCGGGAGACAGAGGAGGACCGGUGGCCGGUGGCCGGUGGAGGACGUGAACGGGAGUCUGAGUCUAGAGAGGUGAAGAUCUGAGAUAGUUAGAUAAUGAGCCGCGGGGAAGUUGGAGCGAUGGCCGGCAUGAACUUGAAGCCGUGAACGUGAGGUGUUUUGGGAGAUCUUUGUGAUGGGUGAUCAAAAAAGACACAGAAUUUUGAUGGUCUCUGAUUUCUUUUAUCCGAACUUUGGCGGUGUGGAAAGUCACAUUUAUUGUCUUUCACAAUGUCUCCUGAAACUUGGUCACAAGGUUGUAGUGAUGACACAUGCUUAUGGAAAUCGUAGCGGUGUGAGAUACUUGACAGGUGGCUUAAAAGUGUAUUAUGUACCCUGGAAACCAUUUCUGAUGCAAAAUACAUUGCCAACUUUCUACGGGACGCUUCCAAUUGUCAGGACAAUUCUUAUUCGAGAAAAGAUUACGUUAGUGCAUGGACACCAGGCAUUUUCGACUCUUUGUCAUGAAGCUUUAAUGCAUGGAAGGACCAUGGGGUACAAGGUUGUGUUUACAGAUCAUUCUCUCUAUGGUUUUGCUGAUGUGGGAAGCAUCCAUAUGAACAAAGUAUUGCAAUUUACUUUAGCAGAUGUUACUGAGGCUAUAUGUGUUUCACAUACUAGUAAGGAAAACACAGUUCUACGAUCAGGUUUGCCACCAGAAAAAGUUUUUGUUGUACCUAAUGCUGUUGAUACUGCCAUGUUUAAGCCUGCUUUGAACCGACCCAGUACAAAUGAGAUUAUCAUUGUGGUUGUAAGUCGAUUGGUUUAUCGCAAGGGGGCAGAUUUGCUAGUUGAGGUCAUUCCUGAAGUCUGUCGGAUAUUUCCUAAUGUGAGAUUCAUUAUUGGAGGAGAUGGACCAAAACGUGUGCGGCUAGAAGAGAUGAGGGAAAAACAUGGUCUUCAAGAUCGAGUUGAGAUGUUGGGAGCUGUUCCUCAUGCUCACGUUCGAUCAGUUCUUAUAUCUGGCCAUAUAUUUCUUAACAGUUCUUUAACGGAAGCUUUUUGCAUAGCCAUAUUAGAGGCUGCUAGUUGUGGAUUAUUAACAGUUAGUACACGGGUUGGAGGUGUUCCAGAGGUUCUACCAGAUGAUAUGGUUGUACUUGCAGAACCUGAUCCCGGUGAUAUGGUACAGGCUAUUAAGAAGGCAAUUACAAUGCUUCCUACGGUUGACCCACAAGAAAUGCAUAAUCGUAUGAAGAAAUUGUAUGAUUGGCAUGAUGUUGCAAAGAGGACAGCUAUUGUUUAUGAUCACGCUCUGAGUAGCUCAGAUCAAAAUCUUCUUGAACGACUCUCCAGGUAUCUCUCAUGUGGGUCGUGGGCAGGAAAGCUUUUUUGUUUGGUUAUGCUCAUCGACUUUUUGCUUUGGUAUUUUCUGAAACUGUGGCAGCCUGAUGAGAACAUUGAGGUGGUGUCUGAUUUCAAUUUGACGUGCAAUCAAGAUCAGGGUCUAAUGUUUGACAUCGACGAUGAAAAGACUUAAAAUGACUGAUAAAAGAAACUGUCGAGAGUGCUUUUCCAAGUACGUAACCAAAGCAUGGAUGCUGCCUACUUGAAACCAUAUGUAGAUCCAUGAUUUUUGAGUCAGGCGUAUGUUAUGAGGUUGAACUCCACCAUCUCAUUCCUGUGCAACAGAAAGAAAUCCAUUUUUUUUCCUUUGAUCCUUCGUCGUGGAAAAGGUUCAGAAACGUCUUUGUUCAUGACAACAUAAGUAUUCUUCCCCAAUGAUGUAGGCUGACGCUUGUAGAGUAUUUUCUGAAGGAAUAUACAAAGAUAUAUAAAAGAGAAGUAUGUAAACUUAAUUUCCCAAUAUAACGUAAUAGCAGCUCAUAAUUACCAAAAAAAAAAAAAAAAAAAGUCAGUUUGCCCCUUCAUGAGGGGUAGGAGUUUCUCUCUCUUGUGUGACUCACUAUUUCACUUCUUUUUUCUUCCCCGCUUUGGGAAGUUGAAAUUAUUUUAUAGGGUCAAAACUUUCAUAUGGUAGGUCUUGUUUAGGAGUGUUAAUACUUUUUCUUGAAAAGGAAACAAGAUCUUUCAUUGAUAUAAGAACAGAGUCUCAGAAAUAUAUGAAAUGUGUGCAAGAGGAUUAACACUGUUGACUUUA